AACAACAGGGAUUGCCCUAGUAACGGCGAGUGAAGCGGCAACAGCUCAAAUUUGAAAUCUGGCGCAAGCCCGAGUUGUAAUUUGUAGAGGAUGCUUCGGCGUCGGCCCCGGUCUAAGUUCCUUGGAACAGGACGUCCUAGAGGGUGAGAACCCCGUCUUCGAUCGGGUCGCCGUCGCCAUGUGAAGCUCCUUCGACGAGUCGAGUUGUUUGGGAAUGCAGCUCUAAGCGGGAGGUAAAUUUCUUCUAAAGCUAAAUAACGGCCAGAGACCGAUAGCGCACAAGUAGAGAGAUCGAAAGAUGAAAAGCACUUUGGAAAGAGAGUUAAAAAGUACGUGAAAUUGUUGAAAGGGAAGCUCAAGCUGCCAGACUUGGCCGCGCCUCUUCGGUGGCGCGGGCAGGCCAGCAUCAGUUCGGGCCGCCUGAUAAAGACCUUUGGAAUGUAGCUCCCUCGGGAGUGUUAUAGCCUUGGGUGUAAUGGGGUGAGCCUGGACUGAGGAUCGCGUUCGCUAGGAUGCUGGCGUAAUGGCAGUUUGCGACCCGUCUUGAAACACGGACCAAGGAGUCUAACAUCUGUGCGAGUGUUUGGGUGUAAAACCCAUGCGCGUAAUGAAAGUGAACGGAGGUGGGAAGCGCAAGCUGCACCAUCGACCGAUCCUGAUGUCUUC
rnacentral:rRNA from 1 species